rnacentral:rRNA from 1 species
UACGUAGGGGGCUAGCGUUGUCCGGAAUCAUUGGGCGUAAAGAGCGCGUAGGCGGCUGGAUUAGUCCGGUGUGAAAUCCACAGGCUUAACCUGUGAAUGCCGCUGGAAACUGUCUGGCUAGAGUCCGGAAGGGGCGAGUGGAAUUCCUGGUGUAGCGGUGAAAUGCGCAGAUAUCAGGAGGAACACCAAUGGCGAAGGCAGCUCGCUAGGACGGUACUGACGCUGAGGCGCGAAAGCGUGGGGAGCAAACAGG